CAAUUUCGACUGCGGUAAUUCAGGAAAAUAGGAAAAGACAACCAUUUAACUUGUACGCGAUUUGUAAAAACAAAUAUAAAUACAAUAAAGGAUGCCUGGUGGAAAGAGUGGAAAAUCCGGUCAACAGCAUAGCGCUAACCACAACGGUGGUCAGUUUAAAGGCCAACAUGGGGCUAAACACCACGGUGGACAGCAUCAACAUACACAGGCUACAAACAUCUUGAGAAGUAAUGCGCCGAACUAUUAUCAUCAAUCAAGAGCACAAAACAAUCAAGGCAAUUAUUAAUCGACUUAUUUGAGGUUUGCGAUGUCUCCGGAUGACAAAUUCAUCGUGGUAACCAAAUUCAAGUAAAGCACAAGCAAAUAAUGCCAAGAAAUACAAUGGAAUCUGCAGCCGUAUGACAUUUAUGAACUGACAAACUGAUGAAAAAACAUCUUUUUGACCUUGACUAUCUGAGCAACAUGCAUUUUUAAAGAAUUAUGUAAAGAUUUUUAUCUUAUCAUCGAGUACUUAUUGUUAUUGUUGCUGAAUAACACAUACACCAUUAAGCAUUACCUAUAUACCCUUAAGCUCAACAACAGCAACCUAAACUUCACAUUAAAUAAGGAGGUAUCCAUCAUCAACAUAUUGUGCUUGGAAUUUAAGCUGGUCUUGGACAUAAUCUAUUUUAACGCUGUUUAAUUUGACGGACAAAUUUGAUGCAAUACCUGAAUUUACUUUACUUAAUUUUAAACGCAUGAUGAGUAUUUUUAGAAGUCUAUUGUUGGUUUUAAUAAACGCAUUGGCUUAAGCUUAAAUUCGCUGAUUUUAGCUACUAACAGGUAUACGCUUAAUAAAGUAUCAGCAGAAGAAACAAUUGCUCAGUAAAGAUGUACUAUCAGUAAAAAAGAAAGGAAAAUACUUCAACAAUUUAAAUCAAAUUUUGAAUAUCUUAUUAGCAAGAAUUAAAUAAAUUAUUAACUUCCAACGAAAAACGGAUCAAAAAAGUAGGUUUCACCAAUUUACAGACAUUUACUACAAAAUUCCUAAUAUUGAUUACAAACUAAUUUAAGGAACUAUGAAAAAGUAUACAGAAAAAUAUUUAUAAACUGUAUGAAAAUUGACGGUAACAUUACCUCUUAUUCACAUUUUUAAUAUGAAAUUAAUAUUUUCAUUUGUUCAUGACUGAAUGACUGAUAGUACAUCUUUAAUUUCACCUCUUUAAAUAGCAUAUUAACAUUAACCUGAAGUUUAUGUUGAUUUGAAAAUAAUGAUCUAAUAAUGAUAAUGGUGAUUCUACUAUAUUUGAAUGUUCUGCUUCUAUAAUGUGUGGGUUAUAUGAUGAAAAAAUUGAAAAGAAUAGAGGAAGCAAGUGAUUAUUUAUGUGAACUAAAAAUGCUAUAUCAACAUUAUAAUUCUGCAAAUUCGUGAUUGCUUUUAUGUUUUGGUGAAUUAAAAAAUAUAAAGGUAUUUGAUUA